ensembl:lncRNA
GUGCAAAUGGAAAUGAAAUUGUGUUUACAAUGUGCACACUGUGCACACUUCAAACUAGUCACUGGAUUCGCCAAAGUUUACCAGAGAAGAAGUCACGGAUGAAGUUGUUGCUAGCAUCU